AAAGUACUCCCUCCGUCCCAAAAUUCUUGUCUUAGAUUUGUCUAGAUACGGAUGUAUCAAGUCACAUUUUAAGUAUUAGAUACAUCCGUAUCUAGACAAAUCUAAGACAAGAAAUUUGGGACAGAGGGAGUAGUUG
rfam:Triticum aestivum genome assembly, contig: Triticum_aestivum_CS42_TGACv1_scaffold_163637_2DL